rnacentral:rRNA from 1 species
AGUGAACGCUGGCGGUAGGCCUAACACAUGCAAGUCGAACGGCAGCACAGUAAGAGCUUGCUCUUACGGGUGGCGAGUGGCGGACGGGUGAGGAAUACAUCGGAAUCUACUUUUUCGUGGGGGAUAACGUAGGGAAACUUACGCUAAUACCGCAUACGACCUACGGGUGAAAGCAGGGGACCUUCGGGCCUUGCGCGAUUGAAUGAGCCGAUGUCGGAUUAGCUAGUUGGCGGGGUAAAGGCCCACCAAGGCGACGAUCCGUAGCUGGUCUGAGAGGAUGAUCAGCCACACUGGAACUGAGACACGGUCCAGAGUCCUACGGGAGGCAGCAGUGGGGAAUAUUGGACAAUGGGCGCAAGCCUGAUCCAGCCAUACCGCGUGGGUGAAGAAGGCCUUCGGGUUGUAAGGCCCUUUUGUUGGGAAAGAAAUCCAGCCGGUUAAUACCUGGUUGGGAUGACGGUACCCAAAGAAUAAGCACCGGCUAACUUCGUGCCAGCCGCCGCAGUAAGAC